rnacentral:rRNA from 1 species
GACGAAGGGGGCUAGCGUUGUUCGGAAUUACUGGGCGUAAAGCGUGUGUAGGUGGUUGUCAUAGUCAGGUGUGAAAGCCUUGAGCUCAACUCAAGAAAUGCACUUGAUACUGGGCAGCUAGAGGACCGGAGAGGAUAGUGGAAUUCCCAGUGUAGUGGUGAAAUACGUAGAGAUUGGGAAGAACACCAGUGGCGAAGGCGGCUAUCUGGACGGUUUCUGACACUAAGACACGGAAGCGUGGGGAGCAAACAGG